AUCGCCAUUGUAACAAAUGCAGCAUAAAGAGUUGUACCUUAGUGCAGGAUGAAAUGUGCAUUGAUCAGAUGCGCUUGAUCUACACGGAGAAAUCUUUAUUUGCUUAAUUUGAUGAAUAUUUUGUACUACUGUGAUAUUGGAUGAUGGGCAUGUUUUGAAAUUUAUUUAAGGGGAUUGACGAUGAUGGAAAUAUAUAGAAAUGAUUUCCUACUCGCGGUGGGUAAGAGUUAUUUUAUCCACCAUUGGAUGUGAGUCUAUAAUUUUGGACAAUUCAAUGUUGUCAGCCGUGGACAUAUUUUAUCGUACCCACUAUAGGUAGGAGAUUAUUUCUAUUGAAAUAUUUAGCCCCUAUUUGAUUUUCAUUCACUGGCCAUAAAAAUAAAAAAUAUGACUGUUAUUUAUCACAUCAAAUCACCAUAUUUGAUUUUCUAUUCUUUGUGUGGAUCUUGUAACGGCUAUAUAUUUCAUUAUCA
rnacentral:lncRNA from 1 species